rnacentral:rRNA from 1 species
UAAUACGAAGGGCCCGAGCGUUAUUCGGAAUCACUGGGCUUAAAGCGUACGUAGGCUGGUAUAUAGGCGUCUUGUGAAAUCCCUCGGCUCAACCGAGGAACUGCAAGGCGAACCAUAUACCUUGAGACAGACAGAGGUCGUCGGAACGAUUGGUGGAGUGGUGAAAUGCGUUGAUAUCAAUCGGAACGCCGAAGGAGAGGUCAGGCGACUGGGUCUGUUCUGACGCUGAGGUACGAAAGCGUGGGUAGCGAACGGGAUUAGAUACCCCGGUAGUCCACGCCGUAAACGAUGUGCACUAGGUCGAGGGCGUUCUGACGCGACUCUCGGCCGAAGCGAAAGUGUUAAGUGCACCGCCUGGGGAGUACGGUCGCAAGGCUA